AGGAAAAAGAAACUACAAGGAUUCCCCUAGUAACUGCGAGUGAAGCGGGAAAAGCUCAAAUUUGAAAUCUGGCAGCUGACAGCUGUCCGAGUUGUAAUCUAGAGAAGUGUUGCCUGUGCUGGACCAUGUACAAGUCUUCUGGAACGGAGCGUCGUAGAGGGUGAGAAUCCCGUCUUUGACAUGGACUGCCUGCGCGCUGUGGCACGCUCUCGAAGAGUCGAGUUGUUUGGGAAUGCAGCUCAAAACGGGUGGUAAAUGCCAUCUAAAGCUAAAUAUUGGCGAGAGACCGAUAGCGAACAAGUACCGUGAGGGAAAGAUGAAAAGAACUUUGGAAAGAGAGUUAAACAGUACGUGAAAUUGCUGAAAGGGAAACGCUUGAAGUCAGCCACGUCGGCUAGAAAUCAGCCUCGCUUCUGCCUGGCGCACUUUCUGGUCGAUGGGUCAGCAUCAAUUUUGACCGCUGGAUAAAGUCUCUGGGAAUGUGGCAUCCUCUUUUGGAUGUGUUAUAGCCCACCGUCGCAUGCAGUGGUCGGGAUUGAGGAACUCAGCACGCCCUGCGAGGGGCCAGGCUUCGGCCAUGUUCGUGCUUAGGAUGCNUGGCGUAAUGGCUUCAAUCGACCCGUCUUGAAACACGGACCAAGGAGUCUAACAUGCCUG
rnacentral:rRNA from 1 species